rnacentral:lncRNA from 1 species
AAAAGCUUACCCCAAUGUGAAUGCCGCAACGAAAACACGCCGCUCGAACGGGCGCACGAAAGCUCGAUCCGUUGCCUCCAACGCGUUCGCAGACUCGAUCUCCACCAACCCUCCAAUUUUUAAAGAGAGAUAUAGAGAGAUGAGAGAGAUAUUUAGAGAGAGAAAGGGGAGUUUCUCUUCCCCAUCCACGCGUGCGUGUGUGUGGGUGUGUCGGCCAU